UCUCCGUAGGUGAACCUGCGGAGGGAUCAUUACAGAGUUCAUGCCCUACCGGGUAGAUCUCCCACCCUAUGUUAUUAUACUUUGUUGCUUUGGCGGGCCGUUAGGCUCCGGCCCGACUACCGGCCCCGGCUGGUAAGCGCCCGCCAGAGGACCCAAAACCCUGAAUAUUAGUGUCGUCUGAGUACUAUAUAAUAGUUAAAACUUUCAACAACGGAUCUCUUGGUUCUG
rnacentral:misc_RNA from 1 species